rnacentral:rRNA from 1 species
CCUACGGGCGACAGCAGUGGGGGAUAUUGCACAAUGGGGGAAACCCUGAUGCAGCGACGCCGCGUGGGUGAAGAAGUAAUUCGUUAUGUAAAGCCCUAUCAGCAGGGAAGAAAAUGACGGUACCUGAGUAAGAAGCCCCGGCUAACUACGUGCCAGCAGCCGCGGUAAUACGUAGGGGGCAAGCGUUAUCCGGAUUUACUGGGUGUAAAGGGAGCGUAGACGGCAGUGCAAGUCUGGAGUGAAAGGCCGGGGCUCAACCCCCGGACUGCUCUGGAAACUGUAGGGCUGGAGUGCAGGAGGGGCAGGUGGAAUUCCUGGUGUAGCGGUGAAAUGCGUAGAUAUUAGGAGGAACACCAGUGGCGAAGGCGGCUUGCUGGACUGUAACUGACGUUGAGGCUCGAAAGCGUGGGGAGCAAACAGGAUUAGAUACCCGAGUAGUC